rnacentral:rRNA from 2 species
UACCCGCGCCCCUAGUGGUGGUCGAUAUUAUUGAGCCUAAAACGUCCGUAGCCGGUCUUUUAAAUCUUUGGGCAAAUCGGGCAGCUUAACUGUCCGACUUCCGAGGAGACUGGAAGACUUGGGACCGGGAGAGGUCAGAGGUACUUCUGGGGUAGGGGUAAAAUCCUGUAAUCCUGGAAGGACCACCGGUGGCGAAGGCGUCUGACUAGAACGGAUCCGACGGUGAGGGACGAAGCCCUGGGGCGCAAAC